UUGUAGAUGUUAAAAGCAAGAGACAUGGGAGAUCAUCAUUCCCUUGAGAUUUUAUAACUCAAACCAACUUUGGAGUUGUCUGAUUUGGAGAGUCAUUAUUCUUGGUCUGCGCUCUUAGAGGCCACUGAUGAAGAGCAGGCGGUGACUGGAUGAAUGCUGGUCAGAGAGGAGAAUCUUCUUUCCUCUAAACUGAUGCAGCGGUGGUUUUAAAGGAGGACGCUGCCCUGGAUGAUGUAGAUGUCGUCAGAUGCUGUGCUGAUGGGGUUUCUUCAUGAUUACAUCAGUUAUGCUAAAGAGAUCAUGAAAAUUGACUGUGAUGCAUGAUCUGUAUUCAUGGACAAUGAAACAAACUGUAAGUGUAUAAUUUGUAAAAAAAAAAAAAAAAGUUAAAUGCUUUUUCUGUGUUGUUUAGUAGAAAAGUUUACACUCUGUCAUUCAUACACCUACUCACAUUCUUUCUCACACACACACACACACACACACACACACACACACACACAUGCGUCUGUUAAAGGUUAUAAUAUCAAAGUUAAUGUUGUGAUUUAUUUGUGUACUGUCAUGCCAGAAUAGUUGGAAAAAAAACUAACUAAUUGUAAAUUUAUUGUAUGCGUUUUCGUAUAUUUUUAUACAAUUGAACAAAGUCCAAUUUGAUCUUAAGUUAUAUUCAUCAAAUGUUCAAUGCUUUGUUUAUGAACUCUGUAGCUGUUA